AUGGAAGGUGAGGAUAUGACUGACCGAAGGCAGAAGAGACUGGACAAAGUCGAAGGUGAUACCUGUUUCCUUAAUGAGAAGAUGAAUGUAUUUGAUACCGAACUGAAGGGACUGUCUAAAAUAGAACGUGCAAAUGCCUGCAACUCAGUCAUAUAACAGCUGAUGAAGGAAUUUACUCUUGAGUUUUCACGUGACAGAAAAUCAAGGUCUGUCUAUUGUACACCAAACAAACCAAGCCAGACAUGUUUGUGAAGGAUGCUCCUGAAGGUGUCAUCGACAGGUGUACCCACAUCCGAGUGGGAAGUGCCAAGGUCCCCAUGACUCCUGGUGUCAAACAGAAGAUUAUGUCUGUCAUUCGGGAGUGGGGCAGUGGGAGUGACAUGCUGUGGUGCCUGGCUCUGGCCACUCACGACAACCCGCUGAGGAGAGAGGAGAUGCACCUGGAAGAUUCAGCUAAUUUCAUCAAGCAUGAGACCAAUCUGACUUUCGCUGGCUGUGUGGGCAUGCUGGACCCUCACAGGAUUGAAGUGGCCUCUUCUGUGAAGCUGUGCUGGCAAGCAGGCAUCCAUGUCAUUAUGAUCACUGGGGACAACAAGGGAACUGUUGUGGCCAUCUGUCACCACAUUGGCAUCUUUGGGCAGGAUGAGGAUGUGACGUCAAAGGCUUUUACAGGACGGGAGUUCGAUGAGCUCAGCCCCUUGGCCUAGAGAGAAGCCUGCUUGAAUGCCCACUGUUUUGCUCAAGUUGAACCUUCCCACAAGUCUAAGAUCGUUGAGUUCCUCCAGUCCUUUGAUGAGAUCACAGCUAUGACUGGUGAUGGUGUGAAUGAUGCCCCUGCUCUGAAGAAAUAUGAAAUUGGCAUUGCUAUGGGUUCAGGUACUGCAGUGGCCAAGACUGCCUCUGAGAUGGUCCUGGCAGAUGACAACUUCUCCACCAUCGUGGCUGCCGUUGAGGAGGGUCAAGCCAUCUACAACAACAUGAAGUAGUUCAUCCGAUACCUCAUCUCGUCCAACGUGGGGGAAGUGGUCUGUAUUUUCCUGAUGGCGGCCCUUGGUUUUCCUGAGGCUUUGAUUCCUGCCCAGCUGCUCUGGGUCAAUCUGCCUGCCACUGUGCUGGGGUUCAACCCUCCAGA